ACGCUGGCGGCGUGCCUCAUCCAUGCAAGUCGAGCGAACAGACGAGGAGCUUGCUCCUCUGACGUUAGCGGCGGACGGGUGAGUAACACGUGGAUAACCUACCUAUAAGACUGGGAUAACUUCGGGAAACCGGAGCUAAUACCGGAUAAUAUAUUGAACCGCAUGGUUCAAUAGUGAAAGACGGUUUUGCUGUCACUUAUAGAUGGAUCCGCGCCGCAUUAGCUAGUUGGUAAGGUAACGGCUUACCAAGGCGACGAUGCGUAGCCGACCUGAGAGGGUGAUCGGCCACACUGGAACUGAGACACGGUCCAGACUCCUACGGGAGGCAGCAGUAGGGAAUCUUCCGCAAUGGGCGAAAGCCUGACGGAGCAACGCCGCGUGAGUGAUGAAGGUCUUCGGAUCGUAAAACUCUGUUAUUAGGGAAGAACAAAUGUGUAAGUAACUAUGCACGUCUUGACGGUACCUAAUCAGAAAGCCACGGCUAACUACGUG
rnacentral:rRNA from 1 species